UAUGAUAGAGGUGCGGUAAAUAUAAGUAACUUUGAUGUUGGCAAUUUUUAUUCAAAGCAAAAGGAUUUACCGCCGAAAUUAAAGAUUUUUUUGCCGAAAAUUUUUAAUUGGGGCAUUAUAUAAUAUAUAAUGCACUGUCACAUUAAUUAAUGUGGAGCGCUAUCAU
rnacentral:ncRNA from 1 species